GACAGAGGGUGCAAACGUUGUUCGGAAUUACUGGGCGUAAAGCGCGUGUAGGCGGCCCUGCAAGUCGGAUGUGAAAUCCCACGGCUCAACCGUGGAAGUGCAUUCGAAACUGCAGGGCUAGAGUCCUGGAGAGGAAGGUGGAAUGCUUGGUGUAGAGGUGAAAUUCGUAGAUAUCAAGCGGAACACCGGUGGCGAAGGCGGGUCUCUGGGCAGUAACUGACGCUGAGGAGCGAAAGCGUGGGGAGCGAACAGG
rnacentral:rRNA from 1 species